GACGAACGCUGGCGGCGUGCUUAACACAUGCACGUCGAGCGGAGCGGCGAACGGGUGAGUAACGCGUGAGUAACUGCCCCCCUGUUUGGGAUAACAGUUGGAAACGGCUGCUAAUACCGGAUCGUGGGGGAUGACUCGCGUCCUAUCAGCUUGUUGGUGGGGUCGUGGCCUACCAAGGCGAUGACGGGUAGCCGGCCUGAGAGGGCGACCGGCGAAAUUGGGCGGAGAUACGGGCCAAACUCGUACGGGAGGCAGCAGUGGGGAAUAUUGCACAAUGGGGGAAACGCUGAUGCAGCAACGCCGCGUGCGGGAUGACGGCCUUCGGGUUGUAAACCGCUUUCAGCCAUGACGCGGUAGUGGCAGAAAAAGGAACGGCUAACUACGUGCCAGCCGCGGCGGUAAUAC
rnacentral:rRNA from 1 species